rnacentral:tRNA from 1 species
CGGGGCGUAGCGCAGCCUGGUAGCGCGCCUGCCUUGGGCGCAGGAGGCCCCCGGUUCGAAUCCGGGCGCCCCGACCA